GUUUAUUAAAAUAACAUUGCCUUUAAGUAGGAAAAUAAUAAAAAGUUCCAGAACAGAAAAUGCAGGUAAUAGAUAUCUGCGUUAAUCUGCACUUUGUCUUUCGGCAAUAAGAGAUUUAGUUUUGCAUGGACACGUAUCCAAGAAGGCUUUUCACCAGAAGAUGAGAGUAUGGAGAGAACCAUAGACUUAUGUGAUGGAGGAAAAAGCAAGGAGAACGUGAAAGAUGAGGAAAGCAUUUUGGAAGUUAUUGGCACUACAUAUCAGUGCUGCCAUCCUGACAAGUAUGGGGAUACGAAGCACCAUUCUGAAGUUUCCAGUGAGAAAAACAGCCACAGCCCAAUUUCCUAAAAAGUAAGUAACAAAAAUACACCACCAGAAAUAAGGUAAUCUCCAUUAUGGUGAAAAUAUCUAUAAAAUAAAAAAUAAGCAAAAAAGACUUUUGGUUCCUCU
rnacentral:lncRNA from 1 species